CUGUAACGUGUUCCGUUAUGCAGCGGUAAUAAGUAGUGUGCGAGCGUUAACCGUAGUUGUUUGGUUUAAAGGGUUCGCAGGCUGUUGAUUAAGUAGGAUGUGAAAUUGUUAAGCUCAACCGAUGAACUGCUUUUGAAACUGGUAUCCUAGAGUUUAGGUGAAGUAGGCGGAAUUUGUGGUGUAGCGGUGAAAUGCAUAGAUAUCACGAGGAACUCCGAUUGCGCAGGCAGCUUACUAAACUACUACUGACGCUCAGGCACGAAGGCGUGGGGAUCAAACAGGAUUAGAUACCCCGGUAGUC
rnacentral:rRNA from 1 species